rnacentral:rRNA from 1 species
UGAAGACGUGACGCCAGUUGCGUUGGAGCCGUCCUUGAAAUACCACCCUUGUAUGUUUGAUGUUCUAACUUAGACCCAUUAUCUGGGUUGAGGACAGUGCCUGGUGGGUAGUUUGACUGGGGCGGUCUCCUCCCAAAGAGUAACGGAGGAGCACGAAGGUGGGCUAAUCACGGUUGGACAUCGUGAGGUUAGUGCAAUGGCAUAAGCCCGCUUAACUGCGAGAAUGACGGUUCGAGCAGGUGCGAAAGCAGGUCAUAGUGAUCCGGUGGUUCUGUAUGGAAGGGCCAUCGCUCAACGGAUAAAAGGUACUCCGGGGAUAACAGGCUGAUACCGCCCAAGAGUUCAUAUCGACGGCGGUGUUUGGCACCUCGAUGUCGGCUCAUCACAUCCUGGGGCUGAAGUCGGUCCCAAGGGUAUGGCUGUUCGCCAUUUAAAGUGGUACGCGAGCUGGGUUUAGAACGUCGUGAGACAGUUCGGUCCCUAUCUGCCGUGGGCGUUGGAAGAUUGAAGGGGGCUGCUCCUAGUACGAGAGGACCGGAGUGGACGAACCUCUGGUGUUCGGG